rnacentral:rRNA from 1 species
CCCUUAGAUGUUCUGGGCCGCACGCGCGCUACACUGACGAUGGCAACGAGUUUUUCCUUCGCCGAAAGGUGUGGGUAAUCUUUUGAAACAUCGUCGUGCUGGGGAUAGAUCAUUGCAAUUUUUGAUCUUGAACGAGGAAUUCCUAGUAAGCGCGAGUCAUCAGCUCGCGUUGAUUACGUCCCUGCCCUUUGUACACACCGCCCGUCGCUACUACCGAUUGAGUGAUCCGGUGAAUAAUUCGGACUGCAGCACUGCUUGGUCUCCAGGCUUUGCAGCGGAAAGUUUAGUGAACCUUAUCACUUAGAGGAAGGAGAAGUCGUAACA